rnacentral:lncRNA from 1 species
UAGAUUUAUUAUGGAAGUCGGUCAUUUGUCGAUUCAGAUUAUCCUGAGUAAUUAUUACAGAUAAUGACUGAUAAUUCAAUAAUGUUAAGUUUGAAGAAUUUUGCAUAAAAUAUCAAAUUACCCACAAAUUACUUCGAUCGGAUAUCCACAAUCUAAUGGGAAAGCUGAGAUGACCAAUAGAACAAUAUUAAAGGCCUGAAGAC